rnacentral:lncRNA from 10 species
CACAAAGGGGCAAAGUUUCCCGGCCCGCGCCGCCGCCGCCACCACCGUCGCGGCCGCCCCCUUCGGGUUGGCCACCCUCGCCCUCCGGCGGGGCUGCAGCCGGGGCCGGCGAGGCGGGGUGGGGCACGCGGACCUUCCAGCCUAGGCCCUCGGCCGAGCCUCGCUCGGUGUCCCCACUUCCUGCCACUCCCUGCGGGCCAGAUCUGUCCGGGACAGCCCCGGCGCCCCCGGGAGGCCUGAGCGCCGGGCCCGACUGACCCCCCUGUCCCAGCUGCCGCUGGCUCAUUCCGAGGCAGGACAAUGGGGGACAUCGCGCGUUUGCGUACCGAGUCAGCCUGGCCGGCAAGAAGGGGUUGCUCGGGGGCAGAGGCUAAGGGCACCCUCGCAGGGGUCACGGCCGAAUGCCCUGUCCAGGUGGACCCCACGGCCCUGCCAUCACCAGCCUCCCCCGCGCCGCGCUCGAUUCUUUCGCGUCGAAAACAAAGACUAAUCCGAUACCCCCGCCCUGCCUCCCAGAGGAGGGGGAACGGGCGCGUCGCGGAGGGUAACUGAGGAGGACAGCGUUCAGGAGGGCCUCGGACAGCCUCGAGGGGGCCGUGGGGCGACUAAGCCCUAAAACCCGGCGCAGACACUUUGAAGAGUCACCCUGGGCUACGUUCCAGGCAGGGGGUAAGGGGCAGGGCUCAGGAAUAUUUCCAAGUUGCCAAACUGCCCGUUCUCUCUGCUGCUUUUUUCCCUCACCUGUUGUGCAGGCCAAGUUGAAAUUCCAGGUUAGAUUAAUUCAGCCCCACCCAUCUGGCCUGACUGCCAGGCUGGUGCCUGCAACUGCCUUCCACCUACCUCGGUUGCAGGGGAGCAGGGUGGGUCUCUGACAUACACGCGCACACACACACUCGGGCGAGUCCUGGCAGAAACAGCCACAGGACGGACUGGCCUGACCAGUUUGGGCGGUGCUCACGGAGCCAGGUACCUGGCAGGCGUCGCCGCCCGGCUGCAGCUAACAGCUUAGCCAGAACUGGAAAAAGAGCAUUCGGCCGGCUAUUUAGAAAGAAAGAAAAAAAAGUAACUGAUCUGAAGUAGCGCUGUCCAGAAAGCCCUAGGCGGUAAAGCAGCCCGGGUUCUAUCUGGAACUUCCCUCUGAUUUUGACAGCCUGCUCCAGGGUCCAGGUUGUCAGCGAGGGAGUGGGUGGGGGUGAACAUGGCUGCAAUAUCCACUUCCUACCAUGGCCUUUGGGAGGACUGAAGAGUUUCUGUUCAGGGUAGUAAGACUAGAACCGAGACGAAAAACCAAGAGAGUGCAAUUUUCAAACAGGGGAACAGGUUGCAGACUCGUAAUUGUUUUUAAUGUAAUAUAUUUUUAAUAAGCAACUUUAUUAAUAAAAAAUGUGUAUAAAGAAGACGUGGAGACUACAGAUACUAGAGGGGAAAAAUCACCAAAUUACAACCAUAUUUAACCAUUUGCUAUAUUUCCUUGUAGCCUUUCCUAUUUGUGGAUUUACUCACACUGAUUAUACAAUUUGCCAUCCUCUUUUAACUUAACAUUGUACCAUAGGCAUUUCCCUGUUUGGUAUACAGUUUUCAGAAAGUGUGACAGUGAGGUGAAGAAGAUGGCUCAGGAGCCAGAGAACUCUGGCUUCCAAACCUGAAUCUGCCACUU